rnacentral:lncRNA from 1 species
AUAGUUUGAUGAGUUUGGCUACUCAGUAAGUGAUCAUCAUAAUCCUAAAAAUAAUCAUGAUUGGAAGAUAUCAAUAUUUUCCAAAAUGAGAUCUAUUAACAGAAAUGCAUCAACAGUUUCACUUUCAAUAAAUGCAUAAUUAAGUAUAAUCCGAGUAAUUGAAAUGCUUAUAACACUUUUAACGGCAAUACAUAAUUCAAAGGAUUUCACAAAAUACCCUACUGGCGUCCCAAGUAGGUCACCUAUAUACCCC